UACGUGACUCACUGACUGGACCCGACAGGCGUAGAAAAAGCAGAGAGGAGAAGAAAGUGCAGAAACAUUUAGCUUUACUCCUGUUACACGGUGUUUGCAGUAACAGCUGUAGAUCUAGCAACUGUCAUCUAUUACUAGAUUAUUUAUCGCAAUGCAAUGGCAACUGCUUUGAAGAUAUUGUUUUAUUUUGGGCAAUAAAUCUACUCGCAGAGUGAAUUGCACUGCACUUUAACCUCUGAGAAAGUGAAGUGGAAGAGCUCUGGCUGUUCGACUGUAUUGUUUGUCUCAAUUUUGGAGAGCAGGUGUUAUGGAUCUACAGUAUUUCCUGAGCUGGAAAGUUGCCCUGCUGCUUCUCAUGGAGGCAGUGCACCACGUCUCAGUCAGCGUCAACACGUCUCACUCCACGCUGGUUUGCGGCGAGGCCUGGGGCACAGACCCCCACUUCAGCUGGCUCCAUGAAAGAGUCGCCAUCACCGAGACUGUGGGAAGCGUCUCCAAAGAUGGAACGACAUUGUUUGUGACCAAGACUCCCAUCUGUGGCCACUUCACCUGCAUGGUCAGCAACAAGCUGGGCCACAGUUCUGCCACCUACACUGCAGCACCUUGUGAGACAGAGGGCAGAGGGACAACAGUGGCUGUAGUGUGUCCCAUCCUCCUGCUGCUGUUUGGAGGAGUGCUGGCGUUUCUGCUGUUGAGGCGACACCGGCACAACAGAGGAGAGAGGCUGCACGAACUUUUGGAUGACACCAUCUAAAAAAAAACAGGCCAAAGAUACACGUCUGCUACUCAGAGAGGAGAACAGGAAAUGGACUAGAGCGUGAGGCUCGAACUUCAUGUCCUGUGAGCAGUAUGACCUUACACUGCAUUGGAACAAUGUGACGAGCGGCAAAUGAAAAUAAAUCCUAAAAUGGAUAUUAAGCAUGAAGUGCCAGCAAUGUCUUCACACUGCCUCCUGCUGGGCUGCACCUGACACUGUAUUUUGUUUUGUAAGCUUGAUUUUGAAAUGUACCUUUAUAAUAAAACCCCUUCACAGAAUGUGACAAAACUCAGCUGUUAUUUGAAAGAAGGUUUAAAAAUAGUUUUGACGGCGCUCGAACUGUAUAAGGAGGGAGUUGUGUACGAUCUACAAU
rnacentral:lncRNA from 1 species